CAGUAGCCGCGGGAAUACGGAGGGUGCAAGCGUUAAUCGGAAUUACUGGGCGUAAAACGCACGCAGGCGGUUUGUUAAGUCAGAUGUGAAAUCCCCGAGCUUAACUUGGGAACUGCAUUUGAAACUGGCAAGCUAGAGUCUUGUAGAGGGGGGUAGAAUUCCAGGUGUAGCGGUGAAAUGCGUAGAGAUCUGGAGGAAUACCGGUGGCGAAGGCGGCCCCCUGGACAAAGACUGACGCUCAGGUGCGAAAGCGUGGGGAGCAAACAGGAUUAGAUACCCCUGUAGUCCCUGUCUCUUAUAC
rnacentral:rRNA from 1 species